UACGGAGGGUGCGAGCGUUGUCCGGAAUCAUUGGGCGUAAAGGGCGCGUAGGUGGCCCGGUCAGUUCGUGGUGAAAGCGCGGGGCUCAACCCUGCGUCGGCCAUGAAUACUGCCGCGGCUGGAGCACUGUAGAGGCAGGCGGAAUUCCGGGUGUAGCGGUGGAAUGCGUAGAGAUCCGGAAGAACACCCGUGGCGAAGGCGGCUCUCUGGGACGGUACUGACGCUGAGACGCGAAAGCGUGGGGAGCGAACAGG
rnacentral:rRNA from 1 species